UAUAUAUAUAUAUAUAUAUAUAAGAUGUCCCAACUGUAACCUAUAACUGUAAUUCCAUUCCACAUGAUAUUAUUAUUGAUCAGCGCUUUUUCCAAGUGACUGCAUGUGAGAGCUCAAGGCCGUGACUCCCCUUAACAAUUCCUAGAUCAAUAGUACACCUGGAAGCGUCUCCUUCGGGGGCUGUGGGCUCCCCUGUGGUGUACUCCUCUGUGGUCAUAGACUCCCUUGCACGCUCCCAAGGCCGUCAGGACAUGAUUGGGGUCAUCCUCCGCCCCAUAAAAGCACAACAAAUGUUCCUGGACGUUAUCAAGUAUGGUCUGCAGUGGAUCACUGAUUGCUCACUAAAGGACAACAUCCUGAGAUCCGGGUGUUCUUUGGACAAGCCUGACAUUGAAUGAACUUAUGCUUUGCACCUGAACUAUGGCUGACAAACAAUAACAAAGACUGUGUCUUACAUGUGACUGAAGGGGUUGGGUGCUGCUGGGGAGGUCCCGGCUCAGGGGAAUGGGGCGCUUACAGGGCUGAAAUUUAUGUAUUGAAAAUAAUGGAUUUGGUGGCACAAGGAUUGCCAGGCUGGAGAUGCUCUCUUAGUGCAGAUCAUUGGGAAAAUUGCUCUCUCACACAUCGAUCUUACGUUUAUCACACCAGGUCAUUUCUAUUUUGAAAGAACAUGAUAUGGGGAUAUGGGGUUAAUCGAUGUGCCACCCGAACUAAAAUUCUUAAACCUGUUAGUGUACCUAACUCACCAACUGUAAGUGUUGUAGUGGUGUCAUUAACUCUGUGGAGCCAGUCACUGAGAACACUCACGAUUGCCCAGCCGAAAUUUGUAUUUCGUUGAGCUUAAAAGUUUUGGGUCUGAAAUUUCACAAACAUUAUGAACACCCUGUUCUGCCCAAUUGGCUGAAUAGAAGUCUAUCACUAAAGAAUGCAACCUGGUUAAGGGUAGAAUUGUUAAAAAAAAAAUAUAUAUAUAUAUAUAUAUAUAUAAUAAAAAAUAAAUAAAAAAUAAUAUAAAUACUGACGUUUAGGCCCAUGGAUUGUGUCGUCUGUUUGGAGUUGUUUGAAUGCAAUGAGGUUCUAGGAAAAAAUUGGAACGCCACUUAUCGAACAAAUAGUUUAAUUGAAUUCUGACUGCACUUCUUGCUGUAUGUAUUACAGCUGCCCAUGAUCUUAGCCUCAGAGGGGGAAGGUAGAGGAAUGAUCUCUGUACUUGCAGGCAACGAUGGAGGGUCACCUGAAGUGUGCUCAAGAUUAUUUAUUAUUUUUUUUCCUUGACCAGGGAUAGGUCUGUCAUACCCUGAUUUGUGUUGGAUACAAUUUGUGCUGAUACUAAACGUAUUUCGGUAGAUGCUCUACCUCUUGCACUAAUGACCUAUCACAUGCAGACUAACAGCAAUAUGUAUCUAACACCGCAUGAAAUGCUUAUGGGUCGACCCAUGUCUGUGUCUGUUCCUUAUGAUGGACGGCCGCUGGAGUAAUUGCAGAUGAAUCGGAAAACAUAUAUAAGACCACUAACUAUUAUGUAUGGAGCUAUAUAUUCACAGGAACACAGCUAAGUGCAGUGUUAUCAGUGUUAUGUGUGAGGCGUCACCGCCUCAACGGGGGGAGGUGUUCGGAGGUGUUCACCCGGAGGUGGGAGUCCCGGAGCCGCGAGAGAAGGCUGACUACAGGGCAGCAGCGGACUAGAAGCAGCGGACUAGAACAUGCAACCCCUGGAGGAUGCUCAAUCCUCCAAUGACGAGAUGGUGGGGAACACGUGAAGGUCCGGUACGAAGCGUCAACGGGGGGUCUGCUCUGUGGCAGACAGGAUGAGAAGAUGUGAAGAUCCAUACUCUGGGUGUACGUGCUAGCCUAACCUCUCCCCAAAGGGUGGCUCUCUACAGUACGUAAAGUGCUUGAGCUGAAGACAACCAGCAUACAGAGAGAUACUGCAUACAACAGACUGUCAAGUACUGUUAUAAAAUGUUAUAAAAUGUUUGUGAUAUGAUGCAAUCAGGCACAGAAAAGUAUAAUGGUGCUGCCGAGCACAUAGUGCUGGCCGGGUGGGAAUUUUUCCUCAUAAGAGGUUUUUUCGCCCACCCCUGACUGCGAAAGACUGGGGUUUGGUUUUUGAGGGGAAGCAAGAAUCUGCAGGUCCCGACAAAUACAAAACUGUGGGCUGACAGGCCUAGUUGAGAAAGAUAGGGACGUGUAGAUCAAGUAGUUAGUUACUGUAGUGUAGUCAUACGUACGGCAAUAGUAGUAGUAAUGAAUGUUUAGGGGAACUCAGUUAAUCACUUAUAAUUGAUGUAGGCAAACAAACGUAUAAUCAAGGUAGUUAGAUUCGAAAUGAGAUAUAUAUACAUAGUUGAAAGGAGAAGUAAGUUAAGGGUUAAGAGUUAUGGCUAGGUACAUCUACACAUGUCCGGCGCAAAGUGGAUGUAGGGGGGUCCUAAGGCCCAUUCUCCAGCUGCCAAUCUACUAUGAGACCCCGGGGCGCACAACACUAGCACGUCUCCCACCAGGUCUACAAAACCUCCUCAGCUCCUAUUCGGAUCGGUGUUGCGUAGAAGUGGUUAAUGUAGGGGACCCAUUGGAUUACGGGGACGACGGGCGGGAUUAUGGCUUCGUUAGAGUAAUCCUCCGACAGCUAGCGGGGGACGGCCAUGGGGUGCGGCAGAAUCAGUUCCUCCAUGCUUAAUUAAGGUAUUGUAUGAGGCUUCAUAGCCUCAGAGGGGGAAAUGUUGUGGAUAAAAAAUGUCAUAAAAUAAACAUAAGGGAGGUCCAGAUCCAGAUCCAGGUCCAGUAACGGUGAGAGAAGGGACUGACGACGGG